GGACACAUAAUCACCCCAAUAAUCUCAAGGUGGCCUGUGAGAAGACAGUGUCAGCCAUGCACCUCGUUCUGCAGCUGACCAAGUGUGCGAAAGCCCGGGCUGAGGAAGGACAGAAGCCCAGCCUGGCCAUGCUGGAGCGAAGGAUGGUCCAGAGCAAAAGGGACAUGGAGAACCCAAAGAUUGUCGUCCAGGCCACCGUGCUGUGAGGGCUCCUGUGCCCACCUGCUGGCACAGCGCCGGUGUCUCUGUCGUCAUCUCUGUGAAAAACUAAUGUCUGCCUA